GUUUAACGAAGAACGACCAGUCGAAUACGGCCAAAGCGUAAACAUUGCAAGGAGUCUAGUUGCCACUGAAGUAAAAGUAGGAGAUGCAAUAUUUUUAUGUUUAAAGUACAACGAAACUUUCUGCAAGUUGGUGGAAGGAGUGAAUUGGGUCUGGCAGCCCUGAUCCUACAAUAUCUGCUCAAUUUCAUUUCUGAAAAAUGAUGAAGGUGGAUAUGAAUCAUGGGAAACCUACUACCAAAUGCAAACGCAUCCAUAGAACUUGAUAGUGGUGAAGGUACAGAUGUUGAUCAAAUCUGCCAACAACUUGGUGUUAAGAAGGUGACUGAUGCUACAGAUGAGGAGAAAAUCUACCAAUGCCUCUAUGUUAAAGAGAGUGACUCUUCACCAGAAUUGAACCAUGAUGGUGGACCUCACACAAUAGUUAAAUCCUCAUCUACAAAAUCAGCAGAAGACUCAAAUCUGAUUAAUCAGCAUAAUAACAAACCUUUAGUAAAGAAGCUGCUCGGUCAAAAUGAUUGUACUGUAUUUGUUGGCAACAUUAGUUACCGGAUAACAAAACGAGAGUUGUGGGAUUUCUUCAGCACAUUUGGAACAGUAACUAAAACAUAUAUUGUUAUGGAUCACUUAAAAUAUCACCGCAGAUCAAGAGGGAUUGGCUUUGUAACUUUUAGUUCUGAAGCUGAAAGAAGAAAUGCUUUAACCGCAACAGAAAAUGAGCUCAUUUUGGAUAAUAGGUUGAUGAGAGUCUCCCCCGCUGACAGAAAAAGAAGACAACUUGAACACAUUGGUGCAGAUCAAUAUCAGGAAGAUGAUUCAUCAAAUGAUGGAAAAGAGAAUGAAGAAGAGUUUGGUGCCACAUCAUCAAUUGAUAAUGCUCAUUUCCAGGUUGAUCUCCAAGUGGAGGAAUCAGUUUUAGAAGGAAUCCAUUUGCUACCUAAUGAUGUGCUAUUGUAUAUAUUUAGUUUUCUUUGUUUGAAAGAUAAGGUGCAGGUAGAAAGAGUGUGUAAAAGGUGGCAACGUGUGGUACUUCAAAGCUGGCAGGCUGUAGAGAAACUGGAUAUCAAUGGAGUGUUCGGUGGUUUCAUGAAUAACAUGCUGACUGAUAAUAUUUUUAGGCUUUUAUUAAAGAAAGGAUGUUGGAAUUUGAAAGAACUUGACUUGUCCCCUUCACCGUACCUGCUAACGGAUUGGGCUGUUGAACUGAUAGGACAACGAUGUAAGAAGCUUGUUAAGCUUGAUCUAACAUCUGUAAAAGUAACCAAGUUAUCCCUUAAGUUCUUAAGUUCAUCAUGUAAGCAACUAAAGUGGAUUAGGCUUAAGAACUGUAAUGGAUUUGGUGAAAAAGGUUUAUGGUGGCUUUUCCAUCACUGCAAGUUAUUAGAGUUUGUAGACGUUACUGCAAAUCACCGCAUUUCUGGCCAAUGUUUUUAUAUGUUGUCGGAAACGCUUGGCGUACUUAUUUUAGAAGAAUGCGCCAGUGUGACAGACGAAGGUGUGAAACAUCUUGUGAACAGAUGUCCAAGAUUAGAACAUCUGGACCUCAGAGGCUGCGUUUGUAUAACAACUACUGCAGUUGAAUCUUUAAGCAAGGGAUUAAGGCAUUUAAAACAUUUGGACCUGAAGGGAGUUUACCCUAAAAUUAGCCAAGGAAAUUUAAGUUUCUCUGGUCUGAAUAGCUUGGAAGUAUUGGCAAUUGUCAACAAUUCAUCAGUUACUGAUGCUACAAUCUUAACUGUCUGUAGAAGCAAUCCAAGGUUGAGAUGUUUAAACAUUGAAGGUUCUGUAGAAGCUGUGAGUGACACUGGUAUAAGUGCAAUUUCAACUUAUUGCAGAAAUAUUGAAGAACUAAAUAUCAGUUAUAUAAGCCAGAUCAGUGUGGUUGGAUUUACAUCGUUAACUGCACUUACAAAUUUGAAGAAAUUCAGCAUAAAAGGUUGUCAUCAGCUCAGUGAUGAAGAUUUGAUAGCAAUAGGGUCAGCUUGUUUUGACCUGGAGUUUAUUGAUGUCUCUGGAUGCCUCAGUAUUACUGAAGCCUCUAUUAAAGUGCUUGUGGACAUUCAUUCUGAAGAACUCACCACCAACAACCCAUUGAGAUUGAAUAUUGGAGGAACUGGAGUGGAUGUAGAUUUCUUGAAGACUUUGCCCUCAACACAUGACGGCAUUCAAAUAUCCACCUGCUCUACCGUAGUGGAACGGUUUAUUUGGCAAAGUGAUGACAGCAUAGUAUUAGGUGGUAUGUACACAGAUGAUGAAGGUGGUGAUAGUGCUGAUGAUAAUGAAGACUUAGCAGCGAGUAACUAUAGUGGUUUCAUGACUGAUUGGCAUAAUGACUACAAUAAUGAUUACCAUGAUGAUUACCAUGACUACUAUGAUGGUUCCCAUGGUUACCAUGAGGAUUUCUUGGAAGCUGACGACCCAUUUCUAGAAUCCGAGCAGUGGGACCUUAGCUGAGAUAUAACAAGAGAAAGAUAUUUUAUUUUAUUAUCUAUUUUACCUGGGCUGCCCCUUUUCCACUUUUAUCUACAAUGUAAUUUUCAAGGUCUUUUCACCUUUCAAUGUUCACUUUGUAUUAUUUCACUUUUGUAUCUUUGUUUGUGGAAAUAAAAUGAGUUUAAUAAAGGUUAAAAAGAGAUAGAUACUAAUUACAAGUUUACAUUUAUAUUUUAUGCAAGUGAUAUAAUCUCUUUGUUUACUAAUAUAUUUGAAAAAUAAAAUUCGAUACUGUAAUCACUUAACUGUUAAUAGUGCAAUUAACAGAUUAAUUAAUAUGCCAUUCCUAUAUUAUGUGUUUCAAAGUAGGCCUAUCCUUAAAUUGGCUAGUAAAUAACGUAUGGGUUUCCAUAGUAAAAAGGCUGUAAAUGAGCAAACAAAAGUGCACUGUUUUCCUGUGGAUAUUAACUAAAUUGUAUGUUUUUUUCAGUUUUUACCACAAACAGUAUCACUUUAUAGUUAUGUACAUAAUUAAUAAAUUAAUUCAGUAACUCGGAUAGAUUUAAUUAUUACCAUUACCUGUCACAUGAUAAUUUAAAUCCAUUGAAAAAGAUUUUUGUAUUUUUGUUGCCGCUUUGAAAAAA
rnacentral:misc_RNA from 1 species